UGUUUCUCAGAUCUGGGAUGCUGUCCUGAAAAACGAAGGACAGUUUUUCAGGACAGCACAGUACAGUAAAGCAUGCGCUUUAAGAUCAGAACUAAGUUGAGUUGUUAUUGUCAGGCCUCUGAAGAACAUAAUGACCAGCAGCUUCACUCCAUAUCAGAGGCGUUGGAUCCAUCUGAAUCCUGAUGACACAGGACUGUGAACUCAAGAACCUUAAUCUGAGACAGCUCACUCACAGAGGAACCAAAUCUGGAUUGAAAUACAUCUCAGUGUUCAGCAGAGGUUUCAGUCAAAACAAUCACUGGCAUUGUUUACCUGGACCGUCACCGGGAUUCUGUCGGUGCUGAUUGUGGCUCAGUACGCCCCACUCUCUUCAACAAGGUCGGGUUUUUUUUCUCCCCCUGUUGGAUCAGAUCCUCAUCUGGAUCGAAAGAUGGCGAGCUAGGAAUGGACUAUGGACUUUAUGAUUUGGAAAUCAAUUUAUUCUGAGUCAA